GAGCGUUGCUCUUGCGUCAUUUGAACGUCAUCUCUUAAUGUAAACAAGGAAGUGAAGGAGUCGUGGCUCGGUCUAAACUGUCGUGUUUCGUUUUACGUACACGAAUGUAAUCCCGAAUGAAGUUUUAUAUUUAUACUCACAACAAUGCACUUAUAGGAUUGUGACCAGAUUCUGAGACAUAUACUGUGUCUUGAAUCAGGAUUCGUGGUGUCAGUUUGUUAUAAGAUCCGCUAAAAAUGCCGCCACCUGUGCAAGUCAUCGUGGUUGGAGCUGGAAACAGAGGAGAAAACUAUUCAGAUUAUGCUAAGAUUUUUCCUGACCGCAUGCAGGUAGUAGGAGUUGCGGACCCCAGAGAGUUUGUUCGAAAGAAACUUCAAGCACGUCACAAAAUACCUGAUCAAAACACAUUCAAAGACUGGCGUUGUGUAGUGGAAAGAGAGAAGUUUGCAGAUGCAGUGCUGAUCUGCACUCCUGAUCGCCUUCACAAGGACCCUGCAGUGGCGUUAGCUAAGAAAGGCUACCAUAUAUUGCUGGAGAAACCAAUGGCUGUAACAGAGCAGGACUGCACAGAGAUUGUAGAAGCUAUCAUUCAGAAUGGUGUCAUAUUUGCUGUGGGCCAUGUUCUCCGAUACGAUCCCGUCAUCCACAAAAUAAAACUGCUGAUUGACAGUGGAGCGGUCGGAGACGUCAUCCACAUUCAACACUUGGAACCGGUGGGGUUCUAUCAUUUUGCUCACUCCUUUGUCAGAGGGAACUGGAGAAACGAGGCAGAAAGCUCUUUUGCGCUGUUAGCCAAAUCCUGCCAUGAUCUGGAUCUGAUUCAUCACUGGGCUGGAGGACGAAGGUGUAUCAAAGUUUCAUCAUUCGGGUCGCUUAGCCACUUCACUAAAGAGAACAAGCCAAAAGAGGCUGCAAAUCGCUGUUUAGACUGUCCUGUAGAGGGAGAUUGUGCAUACUCUGCAAAGAAAAUCUACUUGGAUCGAGUGAAAAAGAAAAUGUGGAAUAUAAACUCAGGGUGCUGUUGGCUGGCCAGUGUCAGUGAUUUGUUCCAACUCGCUUCCUGAUAUUGAAUCAGUGACUGAAGCCCUGAGAACUGGACCUUAUGGGCGCUGCGUCUACGACUGUGACAACGAUGUGUGCUCAAAUCAGGUAGUGAACAUGGAGUUUGAAGGAGGCUUGACUGCCGCAUUCACCAUGGUUGCAUUCACAAAGGAAAUAUGUAAUCGCAAAACCACUAUCUAUGGUAGUAAGGGUGAACUGACCUGCGAUGGACAUGAGAUCACAGUGUUCGACUUCCUCGGCAAUAAAACCACAAAACACACCUCAGAUGGGACAGUUCCAGGGAACUUUGCUAAAGGAGGUCACGGCUGUGCAGAUUUUCAUCUUAUUGAUUCCUUCAUUUCAGCUGUGACGAAUGGAGACCCAACUAUGAUCAGGUCUGGUCCUAUGGAGACUUUAGUAAGCCAUAAGCUAGUGUUUCAGGCUGAACGUGCCCGUUUGGAAAACAGAGUGGUGUUCUGUGAGAAUCCCUGUGAUGGAGAAAGCAGAUGAGUGGAUAGGGGAAACAAAUCUGCAGGUUAUGGAUUUGUUUUAUUUUACACUAUAAAUUUAAACUCUGUGUUGAUCUAGAUGUUCUUGCUGUACACACUUUUGUCAUUGUGAUUUUGAAAUGAUAUCCAAAUGUUGUCUUGUUUUUUAAAAUGAAUGUAAUCAUUUAUGAGUUAUAAAACAGUAAAUGUUGAAAUGCCAUUUAAUGUAGCUAAAAAAAUACUUGAAUGUAUUAAUAUAAAAUCUUUUUUUGACUAGCUUUAGUUAUCUGAUUAUGCAAUCAAAUUAAUCAUGUGGAAUUAUUAAUCACUUAAAUAAAUAAAAAAUCACAUAUUAUUUUAGCCUUUUUGUUCAGCUUGAAUUUUUUAUUUUAUAUUUUAUUUAUUUAUUUUUAUUUUAUAGUCAUCAAAAAUUUGACAAAUAGGUUUAUCGUGUAUUUUACCAAAUCAGUGACUUUUAAAGUACAAAUUUUAAUCCUCAUAUUCUUUCUAUGUGUUUAUACAAUAUUUCAGUUGCUCAUUGCCUAUGAACAUGGCUGAGAUUUCCUCUACAUAUUGUCGAGAUGUUCAACUGUCAUAUGAGAAGUAAAACGGUUAACAUUUUAUUUAAAUGGCAAUGACAAGCCAUCAUUAAAACAUAAAGUUUGAUGAUGUGAUCAUAAAAUUGUCUAUAGUUAUAUAAGAAAUAUUGGUAAUUUACAUUAGUCACUGUAUGUAGAUGGUGUUUCAGAAACAGGAGUGGUGUAGUGUCACAGUGAGCUGUUGGGUGUCAUAAGCCUGCAGUUUGUCCACACAGUUUUGUACCAUACCUUUAUGGGCAGGUUAUCUUGAAGGUAAUAAACUUUUAAUUUAAACUUUUUUUUAUAUUAUCCCAUUUAAAUAAGCACACUGCAUCUGUCUUCUCACAAAAAUCAUCAAUUUACACAUGGGCCUCGAUAAACAUGCAGAAUGUAUUGUAUAAAUCAUACAGUCUUCUUUUUAAAGAAUUUAAUAAAUGCAUUACAUUUUGUGAA